GUAAAGUUUCCCAUCUUCUUCCAGACAGGCAUCUAUCAGAGCUUGUACAGAGCUUUCUUCCUGGAACAGCAGGAAGGCGUAACCUUGGAAAGGAUGCUGCCUCUAUGGGAUCACAGUAAAUCAAGCACAUUUGACCUACCGAGCUUAACAUGACUGUGGAAAAUACGACUUGCUUUCAGCUUUGUGAGGCCAGUCCACCACAAGAGGUCCAAACCUACGAAAGCUGGCAGUGAUCUCAUCUACAAAAAACAAAUGAGGCACCUUAGAGAGAAUGUGAAGACUGACAC